AUGAUUGGAGUGUCAGAGGAAGAGAAUAAAUUGAUAGCUGCGACGAAAAAAGAAAAAUACAAAGCGGAAUUGUUGAAGCAAAUCAAUGAUAAUAAGAGAAACAAAGUCAGAGAGAAAACACUUGAGGGGACGGUUGGUGUCACUGGAGCUACAAAAAAAGAUCUACAUAAAAAGGAAACUCAAAAGAAUCCUUCAAGAAGCUCACAGGAGGACUUCAAAGAACCACUGAUGAAGUGUUCUGGGUUGGAAACUGGUGCACCUAGAGAUGAGGCCUUGUUGGACCAUUCCAGUGAAACGUCCCACAGGAACCUCUCACAGGGGCUGGGAGACAUGGCUGUACCCAGGGUUGCUGGUUUGGAUCCUGUAGUUUGUCCUCUUUGCUACACUCCACUUCAUGCAUCUCAUCCUUUAUAUGGGACUCUAGCAUAUGCUCCUCCUCAUCCUGAUGGGACUCUAGCAUAUGCUCCUCCUCCUCAUCAUUAUGGGACUCUAGCAUAUGCUCCUCCUCAUCAUUAUGGGACUCCAGCAUAUGCUCCUCCUCCUCAUCAUAAUUAUGGGACUCUAGCAUAUGCUCCUCCUCAUCAUAAUUAUGGGACUCCAGCAUAUGCUCCUCCUCCUCAUCAUUAUAAUGUGACUCCAGCAUAUGCUCCUCCUCCUCAUCAUUAUAAUGGGACUCAAGUUCAUCCACUUGAUCCUCCUGACGGGGCCAGUUAUCCAUUGGAGCCAACUCUUCCUGACAAUCAAGGUAAAUAAAGUAUUACAACUAUCAUCAUGAAAACACAGAUAAAACUUUAAAAUGAGAUUUUAAGAAUAUUUUUAAAUG
rnacentral:lncRNA from 1 species